rnacentral:misc_RNA from 1 species
GAAGGGGUCACAAAGAGCAUC